UUCGCAAUGCCCGAAAGGGUGACGAAGCGACGCCGCGUGCGGGAAGAAGGCCUUCGGGUUGUAAACCGCUGUCGGGAGUUAAGAAAUGUAAGGAUGUUAAUAGCAUCUUUGCUUGACUAAGGCUCCGGAGGAAGCCACGGCUAACUCUGUGCCAGCAGCCGCGGUAAUACAGAGGCGGCAAGCGUUGUUCGGAAUUAUUGGGCGUAAAGAGCACGUAGGCGGCUAUGUAAGUCGGUUGUGAAAGCCUUCCGCUCAACGGGAGAACAGCAUCCGAUCCUGCAUGGCUUGAGUGCGGGAGGGGAGAGUGGAACUUCUGGUGGAGCGGUGAAAUGCGUAGAUAUCAGAAGGAACGCCGGCGGCGAAAGCGGCUCUCUGGCCCAUAACUGACGCUGAGUGUGCGAAAGCUAGGGGAGCAAACGGGAUUAGAUACCCCGGUAGUCCUAGCCGUAAAC
rnacentral:rRNA from 1 species